ensembl:scaRNA small Cajal body-specific RNA 21
UGGCUUGGUUUCCUGGGAGGUGGGCUCAGCCUAUUCCACCUCCCCUCAGCCGAGCCUAGAGCAGAGGCCUGGCGUCCUCCCUCAUGGGAGAGGCAGUUGAGGAAGGACCUUCUCCUGGGCUGGCCUAGCCUCACACUU